GUGAACGCUGGCGGUAGGCCUAACACAUGCAAGUCGAACUGCAGCACAGUAAGAGCUUGCUCUUACGGGUGGCGAGUGGCGGACGGGUGAGGAAUACAUCGGAAUCUACUUUUUCGUGGGGGAUAACGUAGGGAAACUUACGCUAAUACCGCAUACGACCUACGGGUGAAAGCAGGGGAUCUUCGUACCUUGCGCGAUUGAAUGAGCCGAUGUCGGAUUAGCCAGUUGGCGGGGUAAAGGCCCACCAAGGCGACGAUCCGUAGCUGGUCUGAGAGGAUGAUCAGCCACACUGGAACUGAGACACGGUCCAGACUCCUACGGGAGGCAGCAGUGGGGAAUAUUGGACAAUGGGCGCAAGCCUGAUCCAGCCAUACCGCGUGGGUGAAGAAGGCCUUCGGGUUGUAAAGCCCUUUUGUUGGGAAAGAAAAGCAGCAGGUUAAUACCCCGCUGUUCUGACGGUACCCAAAGAAUAGGCACUGGCUAACUUCGUG
rnacentral:rRNA from 1 species